rnacentral:tRNA from 1 species
UGGGCUUUCGUAUAUCGGUAUUACACCAGAUUUUGGUUCUGAGAAGGCAGGUUCGACUCCUGCAAGCCCAA